rnacentral:rRNA from 1 species
GACGAACGCUGGCGGCGUGCCUAACACAUGCAAGUAGAACGCUGAAGGAGGAGCUUGCUCUUCUGGAUGUGUUGCGAACGGGUGAGUAACGCGUAGGUAACCUGCCUGGUAGCGGGGGAUAACUAUUGGAAACGAUAGCUAAUACCGCAUAACAGUAGAUGUUGCAUGACAUUUGCUUAAAAGGUGCAAUUGCACCCUACCAGAUGGACCUGCGUUGUAUUCGCUAGUUGGUGGGGUAACGGCUCACCAAGGCGACGAUACAUAGCCGACCUGAGAGGGUGAUCGGCCACACUGGGACUGAGACACGGCCCAGACUCCUACGGGAGGCAGCAGUAGGGAAUCUUCGGCAAUGGACGGAAGUCUGACCGAGCAACGCCGCGUGAGUGAAGAAGGUUUUCGGAUCGUAAAGCUCUGUUGUAAGAGAAGAACGAGUGUGAGAGUGGAAAGUUCACACUGUGACGGUAUCUUACCAGAAAGGGACGGCUAACUACGUG